GCCGCCAUCGUCUAGUCUGGUUAGGACGCAGGGUUCUCAUCCCUGUAACACCGGUCCGAAUCCGGUUGGCGGUA
rnacentral:tRNA from 1 species